rnacentral:lncRNA from 1 species
GAAGGAGAGAAGGGAAGGAAGGAAAAGAAAAGAAAAAAGAAAAUAAAAAGAGGAGAAAGAAAAGGAAAAAUAUGUAUCAGAGAUAGUGGGUAGAUGGCUGCCAAGUCUGAGAUUUAUAACCUGACCCUUUACAGGAAAAGUUUAUAACUCUGCUCUGUACGCUUAACUUCCUUUAAACUGUUUUAUGGCUUACUUGAUUGAUUAGAAUGAAAACUUUAUUUCUUAAUUAAACAAAUAUUUACUGUUAUCAUUCAGGGAGGAUUUCCAAAAGCUGAUGAAAACAGAGAUCCAGAAGCCAGUGGAGCAGCUGCCAGCCUUGGUGCAGGGGAGAGGUGGAAGCCUCACCUCAACGAUGCUGUCGUUCGUCUUGUCAUGGGCCUAGAGUUUAUCCUGUCUGGGUGUACCUGGGAAGGUUCAGUCAGGUUGAAUUGGAAGUGCCUGUGAGUCAUCUACAGAAUUGGAAGUACCUGUGAGUCAUCUACAUGGAGAUGUCAAAUAGGCUGUUGGAAGGUUGGCCCUGGGACCCAGAAAACGAACAAGGAGGAGGAGCCUCUUCUGGAGUCACAAGAGGUUGGCCUCGAAUGUGUAGCCUUGCCUCCCCGAGGACCAGGGCAACCGGCCUGAGCCACAGCGGCUCCAUCAAAUCUUUUCUUCUGCCAGCCCUGGAUGGUGCUUCCAGGGUGACUGCCACCCUAUGUCCUGAGCCCUGAGGAAGACCCUGCUGUGCCAAGGAAAACUAUGAGGCAACUGAGCCAUUGAAAAGGGGCUUGUGCAAGGACGUCUGAUUAAUUUGGUGAAGAAACUGAAGCACAGAAAAGUUAAGUUGCUUGCUCAAGCUCCCAGGGGAGAUCCAGGCUUGGACAGUCUGAUUCAGAAACUUUGCUGAUACCACCAUGCUGUACUGUCCUUCAUGUAUGGGCACACAUAGGCGAUACAGGUCUGAGUCAAGAAAAUUUGACAUCACUUCCUAAACACACACACUCUCCUUUUUCUCCCCAAAUAAAGCAUCUAUAAAUGAAUGUUGUUUCUGUGGUUAGAUGUGUUUGGAGAAUUUUAUCUGCAGAAUCUUCCAAACUGAACAUUGUCUGAUAUUUACUUAGAAGAAAUAAAAACUUCCAUGAACUGAGUGAAAAAUAGUUGUUCAUGUAUAUCACUGAUUGCUG